CGCACGGGUGAGUAACACGUACCCAACCUGCCGUCUACUCUUGGACAGCCUUCUGAAAGGAAGAUUAAUACAAGAUGGCAUCAUGAGUUCACAUGUUCACAUGAUUAAAGGUAUUCCGGUAGACGAUGGGGAUGCGUUCCAUUAGAUAGUAGGCGGGGUAACGGCCCACCUAGUCUUCGAUGGAUAGGGGUUCUGAGAGGAAGGUCCCCCACAUUGGAACUGAGACACGGUCCAA
rnacentral:rRNA from 1 species